rnacentral:rRNA from 1 species
UACGUAGGGUGCAAGCGUUAAUCGGAAUUACUGGGCGUAAAGCGUGCGCAGGCGGUUAUGCAAGACAGAUGUGAAAUCCCCGGGCUUAACCUGGGAACCGCAUUUGUGACUGCAUAGCUGGAGUACGGCAGAGGGGGAUGGAAUUCCGCGUGUAGCAGUGAAAUGCGUAGAUAUGCGGAGGAACACCGAUGGCGAAGGCAGUCCCCUGGGCCUGUACUGACGCUCAGGAGCGAAAGCGUGGGGAGCGAUCCGG